AGCCUCCUGGCGCUCAAUACAGGAUGUGUUCUUACCCCAACCAAAUAGAAAGAGGAGGCUGAAUUAACCUGUCCCGUAUACACCUUAACCCAAGUCCUGUGACUCAUCUAUAUUGUCAGUGGGGGGACUUGA
ensembl:snoRNA